rnacentral:RNase_P_RNA from 1 species
GCAGUGUCUCGGUCUGUCGCUGGUGUCAACUGCCUCUGUCCAAUGGGUUGGAGGUAAGGACACGAGAGGAAAGUCCGGGCAGCAGAGGGUGCCCCACUUCUGAAAGUAGAAGCAGUCGGUGACGGCUGGAUAUGGAAGAAGAAAACAACCGCCGUUAUGGCAAGGGUGAGAAGGUGGUGUAAGAGACCACCAGUCGACGGGUGAUCGUCGGGCUGUUCCAUCUGGGGGCUGCAAGUUCGCGUAUACCAUCGUCUGAGGAUUGCCCGUCCGAGUAAUACGAUGGAGGGUAGAAUGCUAGAGCCGUAGGGUGACCUGCGGAGUAGAUAAAUGACAGACAUCAUCCUUUUAUAAGGGAGAAACAGAACCCGGCUUACAGAGGCAGUGCUUUC